GUGUGAAACCACACUCACUUGUUGAUCCAUGAAAACCAAUAGCUGUGUUCCUUCUUCCAAGAUUAGCAUUAACACACUAUUCUUACAUUCACGAAUAGACUUGAAUCACUUAGAUGAGUCCAUUCCAGAUAUUAUUUCAGGGUAGACAAUAAUUGAACUUUUACCCAAUGUCGAACUUGAGAUUACCUGGAAACAUGUCUGGAAAACAUCCAAGUAACAGGAUAGUGUUGCCAAAACCUGUUAAAUUAGAUGAAAAGAAAUAAAAAAGAUGCAGCAAAGCACUUAAGCAGAACCUUGGUUUCAAAUAAAAAAUAACAUACAGUUGCAACAUUUCCAGGUUCUAGUUUAGAAAUUUUGAUUUUUGCUUGGUGGUCUUUGGAUUACAUGACACGUCUCUCCUUUUAUUGUGUGUAGAAAAAUAAAAAUAAUAAAUUAGCAAGAGUUUGUCAGAACGACGACAGAAAUCGUUUAGAUCAUGCAAAGAAGACAACGACCCAAAUUCUAUAAGUCUUUUAGUUACCACGUGGCGAAUAUAGCCAUAUAGGAUAUAGCCAAAUAAUUCCUUCUUUUCGUAUGUUAGUUUGUGAAAUAAUAUAACAUAGGUGCUUUGCCACAGUGAGUUAUAGACUCUAGAACUGCAAUCCAAGUUUACAAAAUGAUUAUGGAUUAUUGACUACAGGAAUAAAGCUUUUUAGUCUCGAUUUGGCGAUAGAUUAGCCGGAUGAGCUAUGUCUUAAAACCUUUUGUCGCGUCCUAGGCUCUUCGUGAGUGGUCGACUUGCUUUUUUAGCUGUAAGUCCUAUUUCUAUUGGUAGUUUUGGUCACAUGUCGAACCUGCAGGCCUACUAUUGGCUCUUCUACAGCAAAUACAGUUUACUGGUACCUUAAGCUACACAAGAAUAAAAAAAUAAUGUAGAAUUCCGUAUUUAUCGUAAAGAGCAAGUCUUAACACUAAGCCAACAGUUGUGCAAAAACCAGAUCACAAAAAAUGAAAUGAUACGAUGUAAACUUCCAACAAACCGUUGCGACUUUGUUUGUAUUCAUGGGACUUGGGUAAAGGGAAUUCAGCUCACUGUCAAAUGCCACGUAGGAUGCGUGUAUGUUUUGAAUAUUGGGGAAAUAGGGAAAAACAAACAAGACCAUGAUGUAAACAGCAAGUAGUUGGAACUGUACUGAGAAAAAAGAGAAAAGAAUCUGAAAGGCGGAAAAGAAGAAAUUAAAGACUGAAAAAAAAAAAAAA